rnacentral:rRNA from 1 species
GUACACAAAAAUGCACAUGCUGUGAGCUCGAUGAGUAGGGCGGGACACGUGGUAUCCUGUCUGAAUAUGGGGGGACCAUCCUCCAAGGCUAAAUACUCCUGACUGACCGAUAGUGAACCAGUACCGUGAGGGAAAGGCGAAAAGAACCCCGGCGAGGGGAGUGAAAAAGAACCUGAAACCGUGUACGUACAAGCAGUGGGAGCACGCUUAGGCGUGUGACUGCGUACCUUUUGUAUAAUGGGUCAGCGACUUAUAUUCUGUAGCAAGGUUAACCGAAUAGGGGAGCCGAAGGGAAACCGAGUCUUAACUGGGCGUUAAGUUGCAGGGUAUAGACCCGAAACCCGGUGAUCUAGCCAUGGGCAGGUUGAAGGUUGGGUAACACUAACUGGAGGACCGAACCGACUAAUGUUGAAAAAUUAGCGGAUGACUUGUGGCUGGGGGUGAAAGGCCAAUCAAACCGGGAGAUAGCUGGUUCUCCCCGAAAGCUAUUUAGGUAGCGCCUCGUGAAUUCAUCUCCGGGGGUAGAGCACUGUUUCGGCAAGGGGGUCAUCCCGACUUACCAACCCGAUGCAAACUGCGAAUACCGGAGAAUGUUAUCACGGGAGACACACGGCGGGUGCUAACGUCCGUCGUGAAGAGGGAAACAACCCAGACCGCCAGCUAAGGUCCCAAAGUCAUGGUUAAGUGGGAAACGAUGUGGGAAGGCCCAGACAGCCAGGAUGUUGGCUUAGAAGCAGCCAUCAUUUAAAGAAAGCGUAAUAGCUCACUGGUCGAGUCGGCCUGCGCGGAAGAUGUAACGGGGCUAAACCAUGCAC